GGGGAUUUAGCUCAGUGGUAGAGUACUUGCCUAGCAAGUGCAAGGCCCUGGGUUCGGUCCCCAGCUCCG
rfam:Rattus norvegicus chromosome 7, whole genome shotgun sequence.